UAGAGCACUGUUUCGGCAAGGGGGUCAUCCCGACUUACCAACCCGAUGCAAACUGCGAAUACCGGAGAAUGUUAUCACGGGAGACACACGGCGGGUGCUAACGUCCGUCGUGAAGAGGGAAACAACCCAGACCGCCAGCUAAGGUCCCAAAGUCAUGGUUAAGUGGGAAACGAUGUGGGAAGGCCCAGACAGCCAGGAUGUUGGCUUAGAAGCAGCCAUCAUUUAAAGAAAGCGUAAUAGCUCACUGGUCGAGUCGGCCUGCGCGGAAGAUGUAACGGGGCUAAACCAUGCACCGAAGCUGCGGCAGCGACGCUGAUGCGUUGUUGGGUAGGGGAGCGUUCUGUAAGCCUGCGAAGGUGUGCUGUGAGGCAUGCUGGAGGUAUCAGAAGUGCGAAUGCUGACAUAAGUAACGAUAAAGCGGGUGAAAAGCCCGCUCGCCGGAAGACCAAGGGUUCCUGUCCAACGUUAAUCGGGGCAGGGUGAGUCGACCCCUAAGGCGAGGCCGAAAGGCGUAGUCGAUGGGAAACAGGUUAAUAUUCCUGUACUUGGUGUUACUGCGAAGGGGGGACGGAGAAGGCUAUGUUGGCCGGGCGACGGUUGUCCCGGUUUAAGCGUGUAGGCUGGUUUUCCAGGCAAAUCCGGAAAAUCAAGGCUGAGGCGUGAUGACGAGGCACUACGGUGCUGAAGCAACAAAUGCCCUGCUUCCAGGAAAAGCCUCUAAGCAUCAGGUAACAUCAAAUCGUACCCCAAACCGACACAGGUGGUCAGGUAGAGAAUACCAAGGCGCUUGAGAGAACUCGGGUGAAGGAACUAGGCAAAAUGGUGCCGUAACUUCGGGAGAAGGCACGCUGAUAUGUAGGUGAAGCGACUUGCUCGUGGAGCUGAAAUCAGUCGAAGAUACCAGCUGGCUGCAACUGUUUAUUAAAAACACAGCACUGUGCAAACACGAAAGUGGACGUAUACGGUGUGACGCCUGCCCGGUGCCGGAAGGUUAAUUGAUGGGGUCAGCGCAAGCGAAGCUCUUGAUCGAAGCCCCGGUAAACGGCGGCCGUAACUAUAACGGUCCUAAGGUAGCGAAAUUCCUUGUCGGGUAAGUUCCGACCUGCACGAAUGGCGUAAUGAUGGCCAGGCUGUCUCCACCCGAGACUCAGUGAAAUUGAACUCGCUGUGAAGAUGCAGUGUACCCGCGGCAAGACGGAAAGACCCCGUGAACCUUUACUAUAGCUUGACACUGAACAUUGAGCCUUGAUGUGUAGGAUAGGUGGGAGGCUUUGAAGUGUGGACGCCAGUCUGCAUGGAGCCGACCUUGAAAUACCACCCUUUAAUGUUUGAUGUUCUAACGUGGACCCGUGAUCCGGGUUGCGGACAGUGUCUGGUGGGUAGUUUGACUGGGGCGGUCUCCUCCUAAAGAGUAACGGAG
rnacentral:rRNA from 1 species